CCUCGACUCGCGAGGGCGUAAAAGUUUGUCUCAGCUCGAGCAUUCCUAGCGCCAACACGCCCUCAGGUAAAGGUGGAAGUAAAUGGCCACGCUGUAUUGACAGAGCAGGUAGAUGAAACUCAAGAGAAAAGGUGUGGAUAAAUGAAACUAGCCCAUGAUGAACCUGUUUUCUCCGUGACCACAAUAUUAACCAGGAUGAUGGCGGUGGCAGUGGGCCUGCAUCACAGGUUGCAGCAGAUGUUCUCAAUAUUUCUAUUAAAAUUUCCUUAUUUCCAUAUGCAAGAGGAGCCCCAGAGCUGCAUCCUUAUGGUAGCUACCAUGCCGUGAUGUAAGCUGCCAUUCACUGGGGAGCUUUGGCAAUAGAAUUGGCUAGAUCAGCAAGCCCAUGUCAACUAUGGAACAACAACUUGCAGCUCAUCUCUAUUGAUGGUGAAACAGUCGCAAAUGGAAUUUCAAGAAACAUUCUAUAUACACUGCCUCUAGGACUGGGACAGAUAGCCACUGAGUACCUGCUUCAAAUCACCCUGCACGUUUUCUCUUUGGAAAGAUAAGCACUGGAGAACCAUCUCGUUACCUUCAGCAAAAAUGGAAACAAAUCAAGACAUUAAGAAUGCCACAGUGGACAGCAGUUAUGCAAGGUUCAGCAGAGGAAGUUUUCAAGAUGGUGUGCCUCACUAGCCAGAAAUCAGAAAAGAUCGAAGCUAGCCUUUUCAUCUCAGCUGCUCCUUAAAUCAGUGCAACCCCUCCAAAUUAAUGUGAAUUGAAACAUGCAUUGCUUUUCAACUUAAUUGAAUACUUACUAUAUGUGAACCACUGCACAAAAUAGGGGAAGAAGAUGUGGGAGACAAAGAUGUGGAGCCUGUCUUCAAUAAAUUUACAGUUAGUUUCAGGGUACAUUGUUUUUCUUCUGCUGUUAAUUAGGUGUAUCCCCAAGACAAUAAAUACAUGAAUGGAAAAGUAUAUUCUGUGUUUUAAGUCUCUUUAAUAAAAAACAAAACAAAAUCCAAAAAAACUCCUAACAUGGCAACUCAGGACAUUUUAAUCCUUUUUUUUGUUGUUGGGCUUCUGAUAGGAUCCAUUUUAUUGAUUCCAUAAAUAUUUAGUAGACUUUAGACAUAUUAAUACAUUGUAGUUUGAGUUAAUUUGCAUUAAAUUCUGUUUUUUCCCCCUUAGGUAUAGAUUGUCUGUUGGAAAAAUAUAUUGCUUGUGGAUUUCUUGGGGAGUGGGAAGGUGAAUUAUACCUGUUGUCUCUACAGUCCACUACCUUCCACGCCCUAGGGCAGUGGUCCCCAACCUUCUUGGCACCAGGGAUCAGUUUCCUGGAAAUCAAUUUUUCUGUGGAUGGUGUGGGGAUGGUUUUGGGAUGGAACUGUUCCACCUCAGAUCAUCAGGCAUUAGUUAGGCUCUCAUAACGAGUGCGCAGCCUAGAUCCCUCACAUGCACAGUUCACAGUAGGCUUUGCGCUGCUAUGAGAAUCUAAGGCUGCCACUGAUCUGACAGGAGGCAGAACUCAGGUGGCAAUGCUUACUGGCCCACUGCUCACCUCUUGCUGUGCGGCCUGGUUCCUAAUAGGCCAUGGACCCCCACAGACUGGUACUAGUCUGCAGCUUGUGGACCCCAGCCCUAGGGGCCUGCCAUUCUGAGUGAGUUAUUAGCAUGAAGAAGAGGAAGAUCUGGAUCAUACGUGGGUGAUGGUUCUCAGAGACCCAAGAUAGGAUAGGGAUGGAACAAAAUCCAUCUGGGCAACGGCUCUAUGAAAAUUUGGCUAAGUAAUUAUUUCAGUAUUCAUUGUAUUCAUUGGCCUUCGUGUUCCAUAAGUUAAAUGACUGUCUAAUUUUUCCAAAAAUUUAUUUCUGACUUGAGAAUAAGUGUGUCAUGAUUUUCCCAGUGUAAAGACACUGAUAUAACUGUAGAUACCAGACAUUUUAUGUAGUGUCUGUGACACAUUUUAGUAUGUAUGAGCCAACAAUAGACAUGUCUUUGUCUUGAGGAGUGUCCAUCUGAAUUGAAAAUGUGUCAGCUUUUUUUUAACAUCAUCAACAGACUUCUUAAUUAAGCUGCCAAUACAUA
rnacentral:lncRNA from 1 species